rnacentral:rRNA from 1 species
UCGAGAAUCUUCGGCAAUGGGCGCAAGCCUGACCGAGCGACGCCGCGUGCGGGAUGAAGGCCUUCGGGUUGUAAACCGCUGUCGUAGGGGAGGAAGGCUCCGUGCAGAACGGAGUUUGACCGAUCCUAGGAGGAAGGGCCGGCUAAUCUCGUGCCAGCAGCCGCGGUAAUACGAGAGGCCCAAACGUUAUUCGGAAUUACUGGGCUUAAAGAGUUCGUAGGCGGCGCAGAAAGUAGGGUGUGAAAGCCCUCGGCUCAACCGAGGAAUUGCGCCCUAAACUACUGUGCUUGAGGAACCUAGAGGUGAGCAGAACUGAUGGUGGAGCGGUGAAAUGCGUUGAUAUCAUCAGGAAUACCGGAGGCGAAGGCGGCUCACUGGGGGUUUUCUGACGCUGAGGAACGAAAGCCAGGGGAGCGAACGG